UACGUAGGGUGCGAGCGUUGUCCGGAAUUAUUGGGCGUAAAGAGCUCGUAGGCGGUGUGUCGCGUCGGCCGUGAAAACCUGGGGCUCAACUCUGGGCGUGCGGUCGAUACGGGCAUCACUUGAGUUCGGCAGGGGAGACUGGAAUUCCUGGUGUAGCGGUGAAAUGCGCAGAUAUCAGGAGGAACACCGGUGGGCGAAGGCGG
rnacentral:rRNA from 1 species